CACCUUUGAACUGCCUAAUUCAAAACAACAGCUAUGAAUUGUAUGUGGAGUUUUAUCCUCGUCUGUAAUUUUGUGAUGCAUUUCGAGGCGGAGGCAGAAGGAUCAUGUUCUGCAGUUGAAAAGAAGAUCUUUGAUAACCUUUGGAAUACGUUAGUUGCUUUAAAAUCCGGUUCCACCAAUCAUGGUGAUAGCAAUGGAAAGAAUAGACCUGCCUUUACAGCAGCACUAUCUCCAAAUCCUUUAACGCUAAGUGGGAA